rnacentral:lncRNA from 12 species
GGGGGGGGGGGGGGGGGGGGGGGGGGGGGGGGGGGGGGGGGGGGGGGGGGGGGGGGGGGGGGGGGGGGGGGGGGGGGGGGGGGGGGGGGGGGGGGGGGGGGGGGGGGGGGGGGGGGGGGGGGGGGGGCCCUUGCCCUGCGGUACCGCCGGCGGCCGCGGGCGGCGCCCCGAAGGCCGCUGCGAGGGAGGGGGGCCCUGUUGCCGGCCUGGGUCACGUGAUUUCCGGCGCGAGCCGCGGUCUCCGCGAACUGUCCCGGAAUCGUCGGGAAAAAGAAACGCUUCAUGUCGUCUUUAAGUUCUAG